rnacentral:rRNA from 1 species
AUACAGGGGGUGCGAGCGUUAAUCGGAAUUACUGGGCGUAAAGAGUACGUAGGCGGUUGCUUAAGUCAGAUGUGAAAGCCCCGGGCUCAACCUGGGAACUGCAUUUGAAACUGAGUGACUAGAGUUUAAGAGAGGGGAGUAGAAUUCCGGGUGUAGCGGUGAAAUGCGUAGAGAUCCGGAGGAAUACCAGUGGCGAAGGCGGCUCCCUGGCUUAAAACUGACGCUCAGGUACGAAAGCGUGGGUAGCAAACAGGAUUAGAAACCCCGGUAGUCC